CGAGUAGAAGAGAACAGCAGGACAUAAACAGAGCAGAAUAGAAUUAGAAUAGAGUAGAAGAGAACAGCGGGACAUAAACAGAGCAGAAUAGAAUUAGAAUCGAGUAGAAUAGAACAGCGGGACAUAAACAGAGCAGAAUAGAAUUAGAAUGAGUAGAAGAGAACAGCAGGACAUAAACAGAGAAGAAUAGAAUUAGAAUAGAGUAGAAUAGAACAGCAGGAUAUAAACAGAGCAGAAUAGAAUUAGAAUAGAGUAGAAGAGAACAGCGGGACAUAAACAGAGCAGAAUAGAAUUAGAAUAGAGUAGAAUAGAACACUGGGACAUAAACAGAGCAGAACAGAAUUAGAAUGGAGUAGAAUAGAACAGCAGAACAUAAACAGAGCAGAAUAGAAUUAGAAUGGAGUAGAAGAGAACAGCUGGACAUAAACAGAGCAGAGUAGAAUUAGAAUCGAAUAGAAGAGAACAGCGGGACAAAAACAUAGCAGAAUAGAAUUAGAAUCGAGUAUAAGAGAACAGCGGGACAUAAACAGAGCAGAGUAGAAUUAGAAUCGAGUAGAAGAAAACAACGGGACAUAAACAAAGCAGAAUAGAAUUAGAAUCGAGUAGAAGAGAACAGCAGGACAUAAACAGAGCAGAAUAGAAUUAGAAUAGAAGUAGAAGAGAACAGCGGGACAUAAACAGAGCAGAAUAGAAUUAGAAUAGAGUAGAAUAGAACAGCGGGACAUAAACAGAGCAGAAUAGAAUUAAGAUUGAGUAGAAGAGAACAGCAGGACAUAAACAGAGAAGAAUAGAAUUAGAAUAGAGUAGAAUAGAACAGCGGGAUAUAAACAGAGCAGAAUAGAAUUAGAAUAGAGUAGAAGAGAACAGCGGGACAUAAACAGAGUAGAAUAGAAUUAGAAUAGAGUAGAAUAGAACAGUGGGACAUAAACAGAGCAAAAUACAAUUAGAAUAGAGUAGAAUAGAAAAGCAGAACAUAAACAGAGCAGAAUAGAAUUAGAAUAGAGUAGAAGAGAACAGCGGGACAUAAACAGAGCAGAAUAGAA